rnacentral:tRNA from 1 species
CGCGGGGUGGAGCAGCUUGGUAGCUCGUCGGGCUAAUAACCCGAAGGUCGUUGGUUCAAAUCCUGCCCCCGCAACCA